UAAUCACUAUUAUUUUACGCCGCUACUUAAGCUUUAACACACAUUAAAUGCACAUUAUUAUCUAACACGGUGUGGUUUAAAACUAGCAUUUGCAGUGUUUCAGUUGUUAGUUUUUACGUUAACGCGAACUACGAAGGCGGUCAAAGUCGACUGAGAAAUGUAAGGUAACUUCCUUACUUUCAUCAUGAAUUUCUAUGACGACCCCAAUGCAUUUCAAAAAUUUUUAUCCGACAAAAGGUUAAUUGAUGACAUUUAUAAUUCGAUAAAACAAAAAGACAAAGGUGUAGCUGUUGUGACGGCUCUCGAAAUAUUGAUGAAAACAAAAAAACUUCCCGUGAUAAGGAAUGAUCCCAAACAUGAGGGUGUAUCAAUACAUUUCCGGAAGCUUGGUGACAAAGCCUGUGAGGAGGAAGAUUACAAGAAGGCAUUAUAUUUCUAUAACGCGGCACUACGUAGAGCACCAAAAAAUUCCAAUGCUUUACUGGAAGCAUACUUUGGCAGAUCCAGUCUCUUGUUCCAUACUAAAAAUAACUACUGGCCAAAUUGCUCGAUUGAUAUUGAUAUUUGUCUUGCGCUUGACAACGGCGCCUAUGAGUCAAGACUUAAAGAAAUGAAAGCCGAAUGUCUAUUUGAUAAACAUUUACUAGAGUACGGUAACCCUUCACGGAAUACGUUUAUCGAAAAUUUCUUUACAAUUCAAGGAAAAACACAAAAACAAGUGCCAAGUGUGAGUGCGGCAGUUGAUUUCAUCAUCAAAGAUGGGCGGACCAAAAUCAUCGCCCAAAAAAACAUUCCCCUAGGAACACUGGUCGCACUUGAAACUGCGUAUGUUGGACUUUUGAAUCCAGAAAAUCAAAUCAGGGCUUGUCAUUACUGUCAUGCGUUCUCGUUAAAUUUGAUUCCAUGUGACAACUGUAACUACGCGUUAUUCUGCAACGAGGAAUGUAAAAGGCUUUGCUAUGAGGAGUAUCAUGACGUAGAAUGCCAUAUUAUUCACGUGUUUCAUGUAUUAUGUGCUCACAAUUUACUAUACUGGUUGUCUGUAAAAGCAGCAAUAAAACUAAAGAAAAAAUGCACCUGGGAGGAAUUCAAAAUUAUAUCCUCACACUUAGGGGUGAAAAAGAUGAAUUCCAGUUUAAUAAAUGAAGUAUAUGAUUUAAACAACAAACUAUCUAUUUUGAACGUCAAUACUGACAAGCAUUUCGUUUUUGGAACGACUUAUAAUGCGAUUUUUAUUUAUGCAACCAUCAUUCAUUAUUUAGAAAGCGUGCCAUCUUUUUUUCCUAGUGGUGAAGAAAAAGCUGACGCUAUACGGUCCCUGGGUAGGGUAUUGCUUCAUUUAAAUAUGACAAUGGGGACUGUAGCUAUAGAAACUUCACUUGUCAACAGUACCGCUCAUGACAAAAUAACAAAUGUCCCGGAGAAAAAUGUUGGUGUGUUUUCAUUUACAAGUAAACUGAAGCAUAGCUGCGAUUCUAAUUUGUAUGUGGUUGGGCUAAACAACAAAGUAGCUCUAAUUGCAUUGAAACCAAUCAAGCCCGGAGACGAGUUAACAAUAUCACACGUGGGUCACUGGUAUGAGCAUACGUACAAAAACCGUACGUUGCACCUGUUUACCAAAACACAAAUAAGGUGCCAGUGUGUUGUCUGUGUGGAAUGGGGAGAGAAAAAUUUGCGAAAUGCAAAAAUGAACAACCAGCAAAAAAAAUCAUACAACAAUUUUAAUUUCUUAAAAGCACAAUUGUUUUUGGAAUUCGCUGGCACGAAUAGGAGAACAGAAACGCUAUAUAAAGAAUCUUGUAGCUGCCUCACUGCAUUCAGUGAUCAACCAAACACCAAAGAGCAUUACGAACUUUUUCAAGAUUUUAAAGAGGCAAUAGAAUAUUUGAAAUGUAUAGCUACCAACAAUAAAACGCUUUUAGAA